GAUGAACGCUAGCGGGAGGCCUAACACAUGCAAGCCGAGCGGUAGAGUCCCUUCGGAGACUUGAGAGCGGCGCACGGGUGCGGAACACGUGUGCAACCUGCCUUUAUCUGGGGGAUAGCCUUUCGAAAGGAAGAUUAAUACCCCAUAAUAUACUGGAUGGCAUCAUCUGGUAUUGAAAACUCCGGUGGAUAGAGAUGGGCACGCGCAAGAUUAGAUAGUUGGUGAGGUAACGGCUCACCAAGUCAGCGAUCUUUAGGGGGCCUGAGAGGGUGAUCCCCCACACUGGUACUGAGACACGGACCAGACUCCUACGGGAGGCAGCAGUGAGGAAUAUUGGACAAUGGGUGAGAGCCUGAUCCAGCCAUCCCGCGUGAAGGACGACGGCCCUAUGGGUUGUAAACUUCUUUUGUAUAGGGAUAAACCUAGAUACGUGUAUCUAGCUGAAGGUACUAUACGAAUAAGCACCGGCUAACUCCGUGCCAGCAGCCGCGGUAAUACGGAGGGUGCAAGCGUUAUCCGGAUUUAUUGGGUUUAAAGGGUCCGUAGGCUGAUUUGUAAGUCAGUGGUGAAAUCUCACAGCUUAACUGUGAAACUGCCAUUGAUACUGCAAGUCUUGAGUGUUGUUGAAGUAGCUGGAAUAAGUAGUGUAGCGGUGAAAUGCAUAGAUAUUACUUAGAACACCAAUUGCGAAGGCAGGUUACUAAGCAACAACUGACGCUGAUGGACGAAAGCGUGGGGAGCGAACAGGAUUAGAUACCCUGGUAGUCCACGCCGUAAACGAUGCUAACUCGUUUUUGGGUUUUCGGAUUCAGAGACUAAGCGAAAGUGAUAAGUUAGCCACCUGGGGAGUACGAACGCAAGUUUGAAACUCAAAGGAAUUGACGGGGGCCCGCACAAGCGGUGGAUUAUGUGGUUUAAUUCGAUGAUACGCGAGGAACCUUACCAAGGCUUAAAUGGGAAAUGACAGGUUUAGAAAUAGACUUUUCUUCGGACAUUUUUCAAGGUGCUGCAUGGUUGUCGUCAGCUCGUGCCGUGAGGUGUUAGGUUAAGUCCUGCAACGAGCGCAACCCCUGUCACUAGUUGCCAUCAUUAAGUUGGGGACUCUAGUGAGACUGCCUACGCAAGUAGAGAGGAAGGUGGGGAUGACGUCAAAUCAUCACGGCCCUUACGCCUUGGGCCACACACGUAAUACAAUGGCCGGUACAGAGGGCAGCUACACAGUGAUGUGAUGCAAAUCUCGAAAGCCGGUCUCAGUUCGGAUUGGAGUCUGCAACUCGACUCUAUGAAGCUGGAAUCGCUAGUAAUCGCGCAUCAGCCAUGGCGCGGUGAAUACGUUCCCGGGCCU
rnacentral:rRNA from 1 species